GGAUUCUUGCUGGUGCCUCUGUGGCCAUUGUGGUACCUACCUUCACACGUGGUAGGACUGUCCUAAAUUACUUUUAUUCUGGUUGUGAGUUUGAGAUAUCUUGGUGGCUGCCUUCCGGAGACCAUUUGAUUUGAACCCUUGGGCAUAGCUCUUCUGUGUCCUCGUAAGGGGCUCCCGACUCACUCUGAAAAGCUCUUUAAUAAAAUCACUCUAGCAGUCUGUAGGGC